GCCGUGGGCGCUGGAGAAUUGAGGGGGGCUGCUCCUAGUACGAGAGGACCGGAGUGGACGCAUCACUGGUGUUCGGGUUGUCAUGCCAAUGGCACUGCCCGGUAGCUAAAUGCGGAAGAGAUAAGUGCUGAAAGCAUCUAAGCACGAAACUUGCCCCGAGAUGAUUUCUCCCUGAGACUUUAAGUCUCCUGAAGGAACGUUGAAGACGACGACGUUGAUAGGCCGGGUGUGUAAGCGCAGCGAUGCGUUGAGCUAACCGGUACUAAUGAACCGUGAGGCUUAACCUUA
rnacentral:rRNA from 1 species